GUCAGUAAUUAGCCUUGGCCCGUCCCAACGAUGUGUGGAGUAGCGUCGACGUUUCAGUAAUUAGCCGUGACUCGUAACGUUACCAACGUUGUUUCAGUAAUUAGCCAUGGCCUGUUCCAACGAUGUGGGUGGAGAGGCGUCGGCAUUUCAGAAAUUAGCCUUGACCAGGUAAAAGUAGUCUACAAUGCUGCUGCGUGUCAUCAUAUCAGAAAAUGAAGACAUCCCAUCCAGUGUUGAGCUGUAUCAGGUGUUGCGAACAAAGCUUGGUCUGAGAGGUGGAUUCAUUUUGCAAUAAUCAGUAAUGCAACCUAAUCAGUUGUGCAACCUAACAGACAUCAAAGACCUUCCUGUGGGGUGGGCAACUGUGAAAGUGUUGUUCACAGCUGAUGACGUCUCAGAUUCUACACUGGACACUUGCAGCCUCCCUUCUCUUAGUAGAGAUUGUGUUGAAUGGCCUGACCCCUUCCCGAUUCCACAGUUCUCACAUGAUGUGGAGCUGCAGCUGAAAGAAGCCAAUGCUAAGGAUGGAUCUGUAAUGGUGAUUCCUAAAGGUUUAAAGACAUUCUUGAUAUACUGGCCGACAGUAUGUCAAAGAUUAGUGCUUAUCCUGAGAGGCAUCACUAUGAGAAUGAAGCCAAAGCACUUGUGGAGAAGCAUCCUAGUCUGAAGGAGCUAGGGUCAGAAAUGGGAUGGUACUCGUGGUUUCACAGCCUGAAAUUUAAGCUUGGAAACUAUCGGCAAAAGUUAAGUGCAGCAGGAUACCUUGAAGUGGUGGUAAAGAAAAGGAGAAGGUUCGAAGGGGAAAGUGUAAAGAAGUCAAAGAAGGGUGAGGUCAACUACUGUCCAGAUCCGCCUGAAGGACAGAGUCCUGAAAACAUGGAGAAGUGUAAUAUGAUGGAGGCUGAAAUGCUGAAGAGACCCUGAUCCCCAGCUGGUAGAAGACCUGAUGGUUGCUACGUUUUCCCAGCGCAGAAAAGAGAUAAUUGGAGAUCAGCCACUCAUCACAGAAGUCAUUUCCAGAUGGCCAGCUCUGUUGCAUGAGAGACAGAUCAGGACGGAGUUCAAGAGAAUGGUCACCAAAGACCUUCUGGAAUAUUUUCUCGACAGACGUGAUGGCCUGGUCCCAAGACUGCUAGAGGUGUACAAAGCAGCAACCAAGACUGGAAAG